CAGUAGCCGCGGUAACACGUAGGGUGCGAGCGUUAAUCGGAAUUACUGGGCGUAAAGCGUGCGCAGGCGGUGAUGUAAGACAGUUGUGAAAUCCCCGGGCUCAACCUGGGAACUGCAUCUGUGACUGCAUCGCUGGAGUGCGGCAGAGGGGGAUGGAAUUCCGCGUGUAGCAGUGAAAUGCGUAGAUAUGCGGAGGAACACCGAUGGCGAAGGCAAUCCCCUGGGCCUGCACUGACGCUCAUGCACGAAAGCGUGGGGAGCAAACAGGAUUAGAUACCCGGGUAGUCCCUGUCUCUUAUAC
rnacentral:rRNA from 1 species